rnacentral:lncRNA from 1 species
CUGAAAAGAAGAAUGUUCAAAAAUUUGAGCAAUUGCGACAUACAUUCCUUUCUGGCAAGCCUUCCUCUUAUUCAUCCUCCCUCCCCAAAUCAAGUUGCAAAACUAAUGAAAGGAAAUGUGCUUCAUACCCAUUCAACCCACUCUUAACCUUAUCAACCAAGUAACCAGUUGUUUCCUUUAAGUGGCAUCCCAAGGUAGAUACUAAUAAUCACCCAAAAACCCUCAGUCUUUGUCCCCUUAGAGUUUUUAAUUCCACAUCUCCUUCUGUAAGUGACAGUAUAUUCCUCUUCUUCAUCUACUUAUUAUUGAUUAUUUUCUUUUAAUUUUAUUAACAUUUUAGUGCCUUUAAUAUAUUUGAUAUUUUUGCAGGUUUAGGCUUUGGGGAUUCCGAAUUAUCUUCGACGGUAACCUUAAAUCUUCAGCUAUGCUAAAUAAAUCUGAACCCUGUUUUUUAUGUUUCUUUUCCUUUCUUUGAAGUUGUUUUGCUUUAUUGAUUUUUGUAUUAAAAAUUCCACUGGUUUAUUACUAAUACUAAAAUUUUCCGGGGUUUAUUGUCAUCCACUCCUGUGGUGGUCUUCCAAAUAUUCCAACCGUCAAAUUAAAUGACCACUCUAUUCCAUCCGCUCCCUAUCAAAUUCCCUCUCAACUCGCCAACUUCCACUCACUCCACUACCUCCAAAUCCCUUAUCCUUUGCAAGAAACGCAAUAACGACACCGCGUUUGAGGAACAUAAAUCCGGGUUCGUCGACUACGACAAGGGCCAGCACGAGGUUUCCACUCGGGUGAGUGGACUCAGGAAGGCCCAUAUCCCUAAACGGUACCGUUUGCGUGUAGAAGGCGACCGCUUCCAGAAGGACUGGACCAUAUCUGAGGUGGUCGACCGAGUGCUGGAGCUCAAUCAUUGGGAAAAUGUCGAACCGGUACUGAACCGGUGGGUUGGCCGUUUUGCUAGGAAAAAUUUCCCCUUCCUCAUUAAGGUAUGCUGCGUUCUUAUGCUUCUAUAAAGCUAUAAAAUACAUAGCUGUUACUCUUUGCAUUUUUUUUCUUAAAAAAAAUUCCAAGCAUAAGUGCACAUGUUGAAUAAGUAAAUGUUAAAAUUUUCAAAUAAUGAAAAAUGCUUCCCCGCCUCACAUUUCUUCAUUUACUCGUUUUUAAUAAGAAAAAAAAAGGCAGAUACGAAAGUAAGAACCAAACAAAGCCUAAGAAUAAUUAGUGAUUAGCGGUUGAAAUUGUGCCGGUUGAGUGAUUUUGAUGCUGGAUUUGCAGGAACUGACACAAAGGGGUGCAAUUGAACAUAGUAUAAAAGUAUUUGAGUGGAUGAAAAAGCAGAAGAACUACUGUGCACGAACUGAUAUCUACAAUAUGAUGAUAAGAUUACAUGGUAGACAUAAACGGACAGAUCAGGCUAGGGGGUUGUUCUUUGAAAUGCAAAAGUGGAGGUAAUGCUUUCUGUUUGUUUGAUGUUAUAUGGAAUUUAGUGUGUCAUUUCCAACUGACAUAAACUACGUUUAACCGUAUGCAAAACUUUACUCGUGUGGAUCUCACGAUGUUUAUAAAAUGGUUAGAUGUCAAGAAUAAAUUUGCUGUUUGUAGACAAGUACAUGUCUGUCUAACAAAAGUGUAGCUUUUUGGAGUCUUCUUAUGCUGGGCAAGAAGUAGCCUUUUGUAGUUUUUCUAUCAAGAUCUUUGAAGUCAUUAUCCUAGUUUAAUUAUUUCUAAUAGAGCUACAGCUACAGACUGCAUCAAUACAAUUGCUCAAUUGGCAUGAGAUCUCAAUUAAUUAUAAACUUUUAUAGAAUAUUCUGAACUCAUACAUUUUGGUGGGGAGCCUUCAUACUAAUGACCAAGGAACUAUAAUUGGUAGAACCUGGAAAAGUUCUGAGCCCCAUGUUAAUUAUAUCCUAAAUAAUGACUAUUUGGCUGUAGAACUAUGAUACGGCCAUGAUUGAUUAUCCUUAAGUAACUUUAGGGCACUGUGGAUUGCUAGAAUAUUUCAUCAUGUUGUUUAAAGCUUUACAAGUAUAUAUGGCUGUCUGAAUCAGAAAUUGAUCAGUAAAGUUGUAAAUUGUAAUAAAAUCCCCAAAUAUCAGAAACUGAAAUCCCUAAAAAUCAGUUUAUGGAGUUUAAAAAGGUGUAUAAAGAGUUUAAUGUUCUACUGUCGUUUAGCCCAAAUGUUAAAGAUCAGCAGACUUAACGGGGACAAAUGACAAUUAUGAGUUUCCUCGUUGACCUUCCUUCGAUGUUUGAGACGACCAAAUCACAUAUUCUUUCUGGAUCUAAAAUUUCAUCUCUUCAAGAUACUUUUACGAGAAUGUUGUGUAUUGAAAACACUCAUUCAGCUCAGACUAAUAAUAGUGCUCUUCUUAGAAAACAGAAAACUAUCCUUGUACUAUAACAACAAGGCUGCCAUCAACAUAGCUCAAAAUCCAUUUAAACAUGAUGGAACAAAAUACAUGAAGAUUAAUCAUCACUUUAUCAAACAGAAAUUGACUAUAGGUGCUUUUAGUUCAUGUGACAUUUGACAAGCAAUUAGUUGACAUACUUCUUAAUCAUGAGAAAUAUUUUCUUUACCUAAAUACCAAAAAAAAAAGAAAAAAAAAGAAAAAGAAAACCUAGUAAUUCAUUAGCUCCUUAACAAAGUUACUGUGGUAAUUAGGGAAAUUAUCUCACUAUCAAUAGAAUUUCGAAUAUGCAAAAACAAUUGAGCUUCUUCUCUCAGCCACACUUUUCUAGUAUCAUCAGUAGGAGGUUCGUUAUUCAAGUGAUCAUCUUUAUCAAUGCUUUGUAAGUAAAUUCUAACCAUCUUUCUCCAAUCUAGAUAAUUGGUCUCAUUUAGUUUGUGCUCUGUAAUUUUCAACAUUAUCAAAAUCAUCUCGCUUGUAAGGACUUUAGGUUUUAUUGCCAUCCUUUAAAUCCAAGUAACAAUGGAUAAAACAAGUAAAGAAAAUUUAAAGAACCAAAUUUCAAGCAAAAUAUCCCAAAAUAACCCAAGGAAAGCCACCAACUUCAAACCGAAGAGGGGAAUCAUCUGAAUUUCCUAAAACUUAUUAGCUACAAAAUGCCCAAACAAUCGCAUAAAUCCAAACCGAUACAAAUUCCCUAAAACCCAGCUCUGAUCAGGCACCCAAAGGCUGCGUUAUGGUCAAACAGACUAGUCGGCACCGGAGGAAGAAUUCGGUGAAAAGAAGGCCUCCCAGGCUUCCCCAUGCACCGCCAUGUGACAAAGGUUUGCUCAGCUUUGGAUGGUGCGUGAGCUUCACACACUUGCUUUCCAGUUGUUAGAAGUUGCAAAUCUGCUGAUGGCACUCCUUUUGCUGGCAGUGCACACUAUAAAAUCACUUUAAAAGUGACUCAUUAAAAUACCCCAAAAAACAAUGAAACACAAACCAAAAAAGAAAAAAUUGAGCUGAAAGGCACUGAUUCCAUGUAACCAAAGUAGGAAUCGAGAAGGGUGUAAGAAGAAAAUUAUGAGAAGAGCAUCUCAUUUAUACAAGUUACUAUAGUCAACUUAAGGAAAUUGUUAUGAUCCUAGUAGAAUCUUUAGAUUUAUUGUACAUAAUUCUAGGGAUUAAGUAGCAUUAAAUUAGGUAUCUUUCCUUCUUUGCAUAUCUAGGAACUAGUAUAAAUAUGUUAUGUAGCAUAAUGUAUAGGCACAAGAAAUUAUUUUAGAAUACCCCUUUCUCUCAACUCUCUACCUUUCUUCUUCUUUUUCACAGCUCUUUACAGCCUAAACAGUGACUGCAAGGCUGUUUUCUUUCUCUUCUUUCUUCCUCUUUUUCUCUCUCACUCGAUUUCACAGAAAUAAAUCAAAGUAAAUAAAACCCAUACACAGUAAUAUCAGAUUUAGCCUAAAUAAUAUCUUAUUUACAACAAAGAUUAUAAUGUAAUUUACAUGAAAUGACAUAAAUAGUGUAAUACAAGCAGGUGACAGAUUGACAUGCAUGGCUGACACUAAAAUGAUAUGUGCAUAUAUUGUUAGCUUUGGAGUUUUAUAACUUUCCAAGCAAUAGGCUUCUUGUAUCCUCAAAUGUUAUAAAUAUUAACUUUUGAAGAUUUUGACGGUUUCUCAUUCAAAAAUCUUAUUUAACUUUGUGGUGACAUAAUAAUUCCAUAAUAUCUCUGCUGUAGGUGCAAGCCUGAUGUUGAGACAUACAAUGCUCUUAUCCAUGCACAUGGUCAAGUUGGUCAAUGGCGUUGGGCUAUGAAUAUCAUGGAAGACAUGCUCAGUGCAGCUGUGUGUAUUUGUAUUUUUGUUCCCUAAUGACUCUUUGUGGGUAUAACUUGAGUGAGCUUCUUUUUGUUAUUUUCACAUUGAAAUGAUACUGCAUAUAAAAUAUAUGUUCACAAUAGUACAUGGUGCGUUCAUUUUCUUGCAAUGGUCACUGUUAUUAUUGUUAAGGUCAAACAACACCCACAAAGUGCUUCUAUUAUUAUCUAGUUGUCACUAUAAUUAUUGUUAUGGUUGAUACAAAUUUGGUGUCUGCAGGCUGUACUAUUCAUAUAAUCUUCCCCUGGUUGAUUGAGCAGAUUGCUUUGCAUGAUUUUUAUUGGUCACAUGCUUCAAGUCCCACUUUUAAGUUUGUAAAUUCAUUCAGAGUUGCACAUAGUGAGAUAAAUUAUAUGAUUUAGAAUUAUGGAAGUUUAGAUGGGAUUUAAGAGUUUUGUCAGGGGUUUCCCCUUCAAACUAGACUAAGCAAUCAAAAUUGAUGUGCCAUAAAGGGUGCUUCUUUCUUUUCCAGUUCUCUGAUAAAUAUUUGGAGGAAAAUAGAUAGAGGAAGAAACCAAAUAAAACUUUCAUACAUGCAGUGUACAUGAUAACAUAACGGUUGCUAAAUAAAUCCAAUCGAAGUUAGCACAUAUAUUUUUUUUAUAUAGAUAGAUAGCAUCAAUGCUUUGAUGUUUUCUUGUUUUAUAAAAAAUAAAUCAUCCUAGCUUUUUCUAUUAAGCAACUGUUCUUUCCCUAAUUUCUUUUUCCAUCUCUUCAGAAAUUUUAUGUCUUUUCAACAAGAGAUGUUUGUAACCUUAAUGUAUAUGGGCAGAUCCCUCCAAGUCGAUCAACUUAUAACAACUUGAUAAACGCUUGUGGAUCUAGUGGAAACUGGAGAGAAGCUCUGAAGGUUUGCAAGAAAAUGACGGAAAAUGGAGUUGGACCAGAUCUGGUGACACAUAACAUUGUAUUGUCAGCAUAUAAGAGUGGGGCCCAGUAUUCAAAAGCUUUAUCUUAUUUUGAAUUGAUGAAAGGGACACAUAUUCGUCCUGAUACAACUACACUGAAUAUUGUGAUAAAUUGCCUAGUGAAGCUCGGACAAUAUGGAAAAGCUAUGGAUAUAUUUAAUUCCAUGAGAGAUGAGAGAGCAGAUUCCCGACCUGACAUCGUUUCAUUCACUAGCAUCAUUCACCUAUAUUCUGUUUGCGGACAGAUAGAAAACUGUAAGGCUGUGUUCAAUGCAAUGCUUGCAGAAGGUAUACAACCCAAUAUUGUUUCAUAUAACACACUAAUGGCUGCAUAUGCUUCACAUGGAAUGAGUAAAGAGGCAGUUGCUGUUUUUGACCAGAUAAAACAAAAUGGAUUUCGUCCAGAUGUUGUUUCUUAUACUUCUUUACUUAAUGCUUAUGGAAGAUCGCAGCUACCUGAAAAAGCUAGAGAAAUUUUUGAUAUGAUGAAGAGAAACAAUUGUAAACCUAAUCUUGUAAGUUAUAAUGCAUUGAUUGAUGCCUAUGGAUCCAAUGGUUUAUUAGCUGAGGCUGUAGAAGUCUUGCGUCAAAUGGAGCAAGAUGGGAUUAAGCCAAACAUUGUCUCAAUUUGCACCCUUUUAGCUGCCUGUGGGCGCUGUCGGCAGAAAGUGAAUAUUGAUGCUAUACUCUCAGCAGCUGAGCUGCGAUGUAUCAAACUGAAUACUGUUGCCUACAAUUCAGCAAUUGGAAGCUAUAUGAAUUUCGGAGAGUUUGAGAAGGCGAUAGCUUUGUACAAAUCCAUGAGGAAAAGGAAAGUCUUAGCAGAUUCUGUUACUUAUACAGUAUUAAUAAGUGGUUCCUAUAAACUGUCCAGAUAUAGUGAGGCACUUGGGUUUCUUGAUGACAUGGUUGGUUUAAAAAUUCCCUUAACGAAGGAGGUGUACUCAUCUCUUAUUUGUGUCUACAGUAAACAGGCAGGUGCUUCUGCACGGUGUGCUUCUUAAUUGCUGAUAUACAACUUGAGGGAAAUGUUUUCUUAUUUAUUUUAUUCUUCCUUUUAACACCCAUUUCAGGGCCAAGUUGCUGAAGCUGAAUCAAUGUUCAACAUGAUGAAGGUUUCUGGUUGUUGUCCUGAUGUUGUUGCAUAUACUGCGAUGCUGCAUGCUUAUAGUUCUGCAGGUAAGUUGCACGAUACACUUCUGAACUAACUCACUGUGGAGACCAAUUCUGGAUACAUGUACAAGCUAUAUGGGGAAGUGAUCUUUUUGUCGAAGAAAUUUUAUUAUCAUAGCUGAUCUUUUCUUAAAAUGUUUUUUUUAUUCUAUACCCGGAAGUUUAUUGAUUAACUUCAUGGUACGGUGUGAGCUUAGUUCUUUGUAUUUAUUGGUUGAACUUGUCUAAAGAACAUUUUCCACUUUGUCUUGGGCAUUUAUUUAAAGCUGCAUCAGAACUGGCUAUUUCUCAUGCUAAUAUGUUCAAUUUGUUUGAAAGUAUGUCUUCUUUAGCUGGAAAAACUACUACUUUGGGAACUAAAAACUUGGUGCUUAUUAACUACAGAAAAUUGGGCAAAAGCUUCUGCAAUCUUCCUAGAGAUGGAAGAAAAUGGUAUCCAACCAGACUCUAUAGCAUGUUCUGCUCUACUGCGAGCUUUUAACAAGGGAGGACAACCAUCCAAAGUUCUUGUUUUGGCAAAGUAUAUGAGAGAGAAAGCAAUUCCUUUAAAUGAUGCUGUUUUCUUUGAAAUGGUAUCUGCUUGUAGCAUGUAAGUUUCAUGUCUUUAUUUUCUGAAAAGAAAUGAUGUUUCAUUAGCUUUUUCCCCUUUUGUCAAAAAUAUUGCUUAUUGUUUAUUAUUUUUUAGAGUGCUUGAUACCUGAUGCAGAUCUUUCCAUUUUACUUUUAUAUCAGAGGAAAAUUAACUUUUGAAAGAGUUCCAUUUUACUUUUAUGGCAGAGGAAAAUUAACUUUUUCCAGAAUUUGAGGAUAAUGAAUCUAAUUUAACCAAUUCUAUUGACACCCAAUUGUAUCCUUUUUGCAUUUUUAAAGGAAGAACAUGUAUAAAAGAAAUUAAUUUUGUUGGGGCCACAUCCAACAUUGCUUGCCUGUACACUAUUUCACGAUAUAUCCUACAUGACAAAAUAGAUCCUUUUUUCAUUGAACAUUUAGUAUGCUUUAUCUGCUUACUAGAAACUAACAUUGGGGGAUUCAAAUGAAGUUUGCAAGAUUGGAAGACUACAAUUGACCUGAUCGAACUAAUGGAGCCUUGGUUCCCUUUGGUUUCCAUUGGGCUUUUGAAUCAGCUUCUUCAUCUGCUUGGGAAGAGUGGAAAGACUGAAUCCAUGAUGAAGGUACUUGAUUUCCUUAAUGUUUAUACAUGCAAUAGAAGUCCUUGCUGUUGCUUUGUCUUUCAAAAACUCCAAAGUUCUCAAGUUCUAUCUUACCACUAAGGUUAAAGGUUGGUUCGGUGUUUGAUUAUUCUUAUUCUCCACUUCCUAUUUUUUUUUCUUUCUUUGGAAAACAUGCAGCUGUUUUACAAGAUAAUAGCAUCAGGUGUUCCAGUCAGUUUCAACACCUACUCAAUCUUGUUGAAAAAUCUGUUGGCAGCUGAAAAUUGGCGGAAAUAUAUCGAGGUUAUACUCUGUAUUAUCUGUUAACCAUUUUAGCGUCUAUCUUCAAUCCACACACCAUAGAGUUUCUUAGAUAAAUGAUGUAAAUGGUGUUGGAUUCAUCUGUUUUUCUAGUUUUAACAUCUGGCAUGAUGGCUAAAUGUUUGAAAUCUGAAUGGCCUUUGAAUUAGGAGACGCAGGUCCUCAAACACCUUACUUUUCCGCAAUGGCAUUAUGGUACAAAAUGCGUUAUAAGACUCAAAUCUCCUCGACAAAUCUCUGUGCAGGUUCUUCAGUGGAUGGAGGAUUCCGGAAUUCAACCUUCGAAAGGGAUGUUUGUUGAUAUUGUCUCCUUUUCACAGAAAAGAUGUGGGGUUGAAUAUGCAGAUAAAAUAAAAGAAAAAGUAGGUAAGCUGAAGUUAUUUCUGCCAUGAUAAAUAUUACUUUAGUGUUAUUUUAUUUUAUUUAUGGAGAAAAUAUAGUUUUAUUAUUUAUUUCACCUUUUAUAAUAUGGUUUUAAACUUAAAAGAGACUAUCACAUGUUUCUUCAUUAAACCAAGUAAAGGCUUACUAAAAACAAAAACUAAUAGAUGAGACAAAUUUCCUUUUUCAAUCUAAAGGUUCAAUUAUUCUAUGUUAAUAAAUUUGUUUCAAGCAUACUCGUCGUUAUAACUUUGUUUAGAAAAUUAUGUUUUAGGAAUCGGUUCUAAAAAUUUAUCGAAAUAAAAUAUGUAAAAAUAAUUUAUUUUAGUUUUGAAGAAACUUAGAAAAAGAUUGUUAUUCAUUCUGCUAAUUAGUUUACACCUAUAAAGAGAGGAAUUAACACAAACAAGGAAAACAAUCCCUAAAAAACAGAAACUUCCUAAGAAUCAGUGACUCAGAUUAGUUUCUAUUUACAAGGGAACUCCAAGUAAUAAGGUAAGACUCCUAGUAAUAAGGUAAGUUUUCUGUCCUUAAUCUUAGGAAUUCCAACAAAUUUUUAUAUAAUUGUUGGUUUAAUUAUUGGAAUAAGAUAUGUAAAAAUUAUUUUCUAGCUAUAUAUGUUUGAUUACUACUAAAUUUAUCUGCCACUUUGGGCGGUAGCUAUUGGCAAAUUAGCCUUCAAUUCUUUGAGUUCACUAAACUUGUAGUGAUUGCAACGAUUGAUUCAUCUAUUGAUAAAUCGAGUUGUAAUACCAUAUCUUUGAGUGUAAUGGUGCACUCAUCUCACGGUAGAUGGAAUGUGUGAGUUUCAUGUCUCUCUCUCUAGCAGAGCAUUGAAAAAUGGAAGCUUCAAUUCACAUCCACGAAACAUAUGAGACGAAUGCAAGAAUUUUACAUCAUUUAAGUACCACUCUAUAAUACGUGGUGCUCUGACACUUAAAUUGUGUAUAUGUAUCUGAAUUAUAGUCUUUGUCCUAUUUAUAUUAAUACAAGCACACUCAAAAUAUUAUAUAUUUAUUUCAAAAAAUUAAUAAUGAUAUUAACAAAAUAAAAAUAUACCAAGAUUUUUUAAUUUUUUAAAUAGCAUAUAUGGAUAAUUUUGCCCCUAAAUAGAGAGAACAUAUAUUCUGUCCCUGAAGAAAACCCAUUUUACAAAAAUGGGGUAUAUCCAAUGGAAAAAAUCGUUGAGGAAUAAAAGAACAACAAUAGAUAUGAUGGAUUCAUUGAAAUAGAAAAAGAGAUCAAUCAUACAGUGAAACUAAAGAGAAAAAUAAUAGGGAAAACAACAACAACGAUAACGAUAGUUUACAAUCUAGGAAGGAGUAGUAGGAGGGGUCAGUCCAUUAUUUUAGUAGAUAAAAACACAAUGAAACACAAAACAAUAAAUGACCAUUCCACUCCUGCGGUGGUCUUCCAAACAUUCCAACCGUCAAAACCUCCGUAUCAAAUUAAAUGACCACUCUGUCCCAUUUGCUCCCUAUCAAAUUCCCUCUCAACUCGCUAACUUCCACUCACUCCACUACCUCCAAAUCCCUUAUCCUUUGCAAGAAACGCAAUAACGACACUGCGUUUGAGGAACAUAAAUCCGGGUUCGUAGACUACGACAAGGUUUCCACUCAGGUGAGUGGACUUAGGAAGGCCCAUAUCCCUAAACGGUAUCGUUUGCGUGUAGAAGGCGACCGCUUCCAGAAGGACUGGACCAUAUCUGCGGUGGUCGACCGAGUUAUGGAGCUCAGUCAUUGGGAAAAUGUCGAACCGGUACUGAACCGGUGGGUUGGCCGUUCUGCUAGGAAAAAUUUCCCCUUCCUCAUUAAGGUAUGCCGCGUUCUUAUGCUUCUAUAAAGCUAUAAAAUACAUUGCUGUUACUCUUUGCAAUUUUUAAUAUGUAAUUCACGUAUAAUACGAAUUACAGAACAAUAAAGGAAAAAAAAAUUAUAUUAUAAACUCGAAAAAUGAUCGGGUUUAGAUUUUAAAAAUUGUAAUCUUAUACCAUCUUAAAUGAGAUUAAUUUUAUUUCUCAAGCUCAUUUUUUAAAGUUAAUAUUUAUGUUAAAACUUUCUCAAAUAUUAGGUGGAUCUUUGAGCAUAAUAUGAUAAUUUGAGUUAAGCUACCGAUGAACUGAAAUAUUAUUAUUAAAAAAGUCAUUUUUAAAAAAAAUUAACUAUAAUAGAAAGUAGAAUAAAAUUAUCGCUGACUACAUUAUAUAUAGUGUUAAUGUUUCAUUUUAUUACUAGUAUAAUAAUAUAAGGAAAAAAAUUUAAUUAAUACAUGUAUUAAAAUAAUUAGACAUAAAAUAAAAAAAAUAAUUAAUACAAAUUUAAACUUGAAAUUAAAAUGAUGAGUAAAAAAAUUAUUAUAAAAAAUAAAAUAUUUUCAAAAAAAUAAAAAAAAAUAACGUAUAACACAAAUCACAGAACAAUAAAGGUUUUUUUUUUUAUAUUUUGAGGAGGAAUUCAAAUUGAGGAAAAUUCAUGUAUUUGUUGUAAAAUAAAAUAUUAAUAUAUGUUUUAUAAGUUAAGUAAUAUCUAAAAGUAUCCAACAAUGUUAAUUUUUAGAUUUUGUUAACCAAAAACAACAUUUUUAUCUGGUUAAUUUGUUUGUGAUGCUAAUUAUGCGUUUCUUUAACCGUAAAGAUGACUUUUUGAAAUUUACAAGUCUCUUCGCAAGUGGUUUUUUUAUUUAUUUAUAAAUUAUAUUUAUGUUAAAGUAUAAUUAAAUAUUUUUAAGAAUAUUAUUUAUAUUGAAAAUAAAAUAAAUAAACAAAUGAAAUAAUAAUUAUAGAGGAGCUAAAGGAGUAAUUUGUCCCUUUACUAGGGUUCCAGUCCAUCCACUGGAGCUUUAUUGGUGAAACCAUGGAGAUUGAAAUACGUGGAAGCUCAUAGUUUAAAUAUAAUUUUUGGAAAACAGUUAUCGAACUUUUUUUUUUAAAACAAUAAAUUAUUUAUGUUAGAAAGAACAAUAUUAUCGGUGCAAUGAUAAUGUAUAUUAUAUUUUAAAAAGUAAUAUUGGUUUGAAUUUUGGAAUAGGACAACCCCAAAUCCUAAAUAUAAACCGUAAAACGAAUGAUAAAAAAUUAUUUAAUUUACAAUUAUUUUUUUAGUUAUAUCUCUCCUAUAUUUUUUUUAUAAAUUUUAAAUUAUUUAUUAAUAUAAUAUAUAAAAAAUAUCAUAUUAUAUCAAAGAAGGUUAAAUUUAUUAUUAUGUCUUAUAUUUUAAAUUUAAAAAAAAUCAUUUAAUGUAUAGGUUUCUUAAUAAAAAGAUUAAAAUAUAAUCUAUAUCAUACUACAAAGAUAUACGGGAAGUAAGUGAUACCGCAUAAGUGACGCACUCAGGUGGUGUAUAGUUUAACUUUUGGAGAACUCAUUUGAUUGACUCUAACAAGUUCUCAAUUGAAGAAGGGUUGACACCUUUCACCCCCUUUAAAUUCAGUUUGCUCCAUAACUUCGUAACUCUUUUAUCAGGGCUCAUCAGGCUGUAGCUACUGGUGCAGCUCGCGAAGCAUCUCCCGCUAUCCUCUGAAGUACCUCCACUAUUGUGCGAAGUAAAUCUUCAUCACCUCGACCCUCUCGAUGAGGUCUAUUGGCUUUAUUUCCUCGAGCACCAACUUUAUCAACACCGUGUGCCUCGAUCUCAACCUGAUUUUCACCCUCAAAGGAGUGAUCACUGCUAUUGAUUCCAUCUUCAACAACAUUUCUUGAUUCUUCAGACAUUUCAGCUAUAAAACAGAGGAAUUCAUAAUCAGCAUCCAAACCUCGACUUUGACUCGACUCGACCUUUGGCAUGUACCUUUAGACUCAAUUUUAAGAUUGAUUUAGUUAAGAGAAUUGACUAUACCUAUAGUUCUGAUACCACUAAAUAUAACACCCCAUACUUGACCCAAUCGACGAGUCCGAGUUAUAGGAUGUCACAUUCAUUGCUAGUGUCGUAUACGAGUCAUAUACGAGUUCAUAUACGAGUCAUUGACUAUACCUUGGAUAUUACAUGUGUAUAACACGAUAUAUAAUCAUUUUCGGGUCAUAUACGAGUUCAGGAAAACUUAUUUACUAUCCUAGGGUUGAAUUUGGACUAAUCUUUAAGGUAUUCAAAACAUUUUAGGCUAGUGUUGUGGCAUCAAGGUUGUGGUGUCGUGACCCCUAAAACAGUGAGCUAGCUUUCCAACAUGAGGGCCAAAUUGUAAAGUUUUUAAAAUUUCAUGAAGUUGACGUCGCAACAUCAAACAGAGGACAUCACGAGGAUGAUGGCUGGCGUCUCGACAUUCCUCAACAAUAUACCAAAAUUGUAAUUCCUCUUAAUUUCAACCUAACUUAUAACAACAAUUAGUAAGUCUUAAGUCCCCAAAAGACCAUUUCACACACAUGACAAGUUUAACAUAGAACUUCAAAUCAACAAAACCUUUUUCAUGCAUGAACCAUUAUCAUUUUCUUUUGUCCACAACUCAAAUACUAGGUAUAUACCAUAUGACAAAAUUUAAAAAGCUAUACAAACUUUAUUGAGUCGAAGGCUAUAGUCUAGAUGCUGAAUUCACCUCUGGGCCUUUGAGAAUUACCUAUACCUACGGUAACCGUCUUCCACUUUGGGCAAAGGAAGAUUAAAUGCUCAAAUAUAAAUGGAGUAAUAUCAAAAUAGUCUCUAAAAGUUUAUCAAAAUUUCAAUAUAGUCUAUCCACUUUAAAAUUUAUCAAAAUUUUGAUAUGGUCCCUUCUUUUAUAAAUUUUAUUUUAAAAUAGUAUGUUAUUUACUAAACUAAAAAACUCUAAAAAAUUAAAUUAAAAAUUAUUAUAAGAAUUUAAAAAAUUAAAAAAAAAUUGAAAUUCAAUUACUUCUAAAAUAUGGGAAUUUAAAAAUUACUAAUUAAAGAAAUUGCAUUUACACAUUUAUAUUGGAACUUAUAUGUUACUUUUAAACUUACAUAAUGGUUUUCAUAUUGGUAUUUUUUACUAAUAAUAAAAAAAUACAAAAAACAUAAUUUUAAAUUGGAUGGACUAUAUUGAAAAUUUUAUAUACAUUCAAGGGCCAUUUUGUAAAAUCAUAAAUGAUGAAAAAUGAUGUUAUAUCAUAAAUGGCCCUUGAAUGCAUAUCAAAAUUUCAAUAUAGCCCAUCCAAUUCUUUAAUUUUCAAUAUAGGGCAAAGCAAUGAAAGCAUACAAACAAGCGGUUCUUUGGUGGUUGCGCUGUCUAUGCUUUGGGCUUAAAAUGGAAAAUAUCACAAAUGGCCCCUCAAAAUUUUAUUAAAAUUUCAAAAGAUAAAAUUUUUAAAAGAAGAAAUUAAAAAAUUCAACGCCAUAUUUACUUGUAGUUCCCACCAAAAUCUUAGAUUGAAAUGUAUUAAUAUUGAAUUGAAACUGGGGGAAAAGACAAUUGAAAAAGAAACUAAAAUUUGUAAUCAUGAAAUUUUGAUAAAUAUGGGGACUAUUAAUGAUAUUUUACCAUUCAUAUUUUGUAAUAAAAACUUAUUUUAUUUCUAAAUUUAUCAGAAAAGAUAUUACAGAAGGUUGAAGAGAGCAGCAAAGAGGGGGCAGAUUGAAUUCUGAAAAGAAGAAUGUUCAAAAAUUUGAGCAAUUGCGACAUACAUUCCUUUCUGGCAAGCCUUCCUCUUAUUCAUCCUCCCUCCCCAAAUCAAGUUGCAAAACUAAUGAAAGGAAAUGUGCUUCAUACCUUAUCAACCAAGUAACCAGUUGUUUCCUUUCUAACCCUCCCAUCAAUAAGUGGCAUCCCAAGGUAGAUACCAAGAUUUUGAACUCUUUGGAAUCCAAACAAACUGUAAACAUCAUUUGCC